rnacentral:rRNA from 1 species
AUUGAACGCUGGCGGCAGGCCUAACACAUGCAAGUCGAGCGAGCGGCGGACGGGUGAGUAAUGUCUGGGAAACUGCCUGAUGGAGGGGGAUAACUACUGGAAACGGUAGCUAAUACCGCAUACCAUCAGAUGUGCCCAGAUGGGAUUAGCUAGUAGGUGGGGUAACGGCGCAACUAGGCGACGAACCCUAGCUGGUCUGAGAGGAUGACCAGCCACACUGGAACUGAGACACGGUCCAGACUCCUCCGGGAGGCAGCAGUGGGGAAUCUUGCACAAUGGGCGAAAGCCUGAUGCAGCAAUGCCGCGUGUGUGAUGAAGGUCUUCGGGUUGUAAAACACUUUCAGUGGGGAGGCGUUACCCGCAGAAGAAGCCCCGGCUAACUCCGUGCCAGCAGCCGCGGUAAUAC